AGCGUUGUUCGGAAUCAUUGGGCGUAAAGCGGGUGUAGGUGGCUUUGUAAGUCAGGUGUGAAAGCCCAGGGCUCAACCCUGGAAGUGCAUUUGAUACUGCUAAGCUUGAGUGUUGGAGAGGUUAGUAGAAUUCUUGGUGUAGUGGUGAAAUACGUAGAUAUCAAGAGGAAUACCGGUGGCGAAGGCGGGUAACUGGCCCAACACUGACACUCAGACCCGAAAGCGUGGGGAUCAAACAGGAUUAGAUACCCUGGUAGUCCACGCCGUAAACGAUGGAUACUUGUUGUUGGAGGUAUUGACCCCUUCAGUGACGAAGCUAACGCGUUAAGUAUCCCGCCUGGGGAGUACGGUCGCAAGGAUAAAACUCAAAGAAAUUGACGGGGGCCCGCACAAGCCGUGGAGCAUGUGGUUUAAUCCGUUGCAACCCGAAAAACCUUACCUGGG
rnacentral:rRNA from 1 species